GGGCGUAGCUCAGUGGCAGAGCAUCUGUUUUGCAGGUAGAAGAUUCCUGGUUCAGUCCCCAGGGGGUCCA